rnacentral:rRNA from 1 species
CCUACGGGAGGCAGCAGUGGGGAAUAUUGGGCAAUGGGCGCAAGCCUGACCCAGCAACGCCGCGUGAAGGAAGAAGGCUUUCGGGUUGUAAACUUCUUUUCUGAGGGACGAAGAAAGUGACGGUACCUCAGGAAUAAGCCACGGCUAACUACGUGCCAGCAGCCGCGGUAAUACGUAGGUGGCAAGCGUUAUCCGGAUUUAUUGGGUGUAAAGGGCGUGUAGGCGGGAAAGCAAGUCAGAUGUGAAAACUCAGGGCUCAACCCUGAGCCUGCAUUUGAAACUGUUUUUCUUGAGUGCUGGAGAGGCAAUCGGAAUUCCGUGUGUAGCGGUGAAAUGCGUAGAUAUACGGAGGAACACCGAUUGCGAAGGCAGCAUACCGGCGCCCGACUGACGCUGAGGCACGAAAGCGUGGGUAUCGAACAGGAUUAGAUACCCUGGUAGUC